rnacentral:rRNA from 1 species
AGGCUGUAGUCUCGUUGGUGACAGCGGAGGGAUCAUUACCGAGUUAUACAACUCCCAAACCCACUGUGAACCUUACCUCAGUUGCCUCGGCGGGAACGCCCCGGCCGCCUGCCCCCGCGCCGGCGCCGGACCCAGGCGCCCGCCGCAGGGACCCCAAACUCUCUUGCAUUACGCCCAGCGGGCGGAAUUUCUUCUCUGAGUUGCACAAGCAAAAACAAAUGAAUCAAAACUUUCAACAACGGAUCUCUUGGUUCUGGCAUCGAUGAAGAACGCAGCGAAAUGCGAUAAGUAAUGUGAAUUGCAGAAUUCAGUGAAUCAUCGAAUCUUUGAACGCACAUUGCGCCCGCCAGCAUUCUGGCGGGCAUGCCUGUUCGAGCGUCAUUUCAACCCUCGAGCCCCCCCGGGGGCCUCGGUGUUGGGGGACGGCACACCAGCCGCCCCCGAAAUGCAGUGGCGACCCCGCCGCAGCCUCCCCUGCGUAGUAGCACACACCUCGCACCGGAGCGCGGAGGCGGUCACGCCGUAAAACGCCCAACUUUCUUAGAGUUGACCUCGGAUCAGGUAGGAAUACCCGCUGAACUUAAGCAUACAAACGGUCGGGGUAUUUACUGUCCUUUGAAAUUUGACCUCAAUCAGGUAGGACUACCCGCUAACUUAAGCAUGUGAGGAGGGGGAGAGAAAGCGGAAUGUUAAUUGGCGUGCUUUUAGUAAUU